CGGUUCCGGAUUACUCAGGGGAACUUGCGCUAAUACCGUUUACGUCCGCGAGGAGAAAGAUUCAUCGCCGGAGGAUUGGCCCCCGUCUGAUUAGCUUGUUGGCGAGGUAAUGGCUCACCAAAACGAGGAUCAGUUCCUGGUCUGAGAGGAUGAUCAGCCACACUGGAACUGAGACAGGGCCCAGACUCCUACGGGAGCGAGCAGUGGCCGAAUAUUGGAAUAAUGGGCGCAAGCCUGAUCCAGCCAUGCCGCGUGAGUGAUGAAGGCCCUAGGGUUGUAAUGCUCUUUUACCCGGGUAGAUAAUGACUGUACCGGGAGAAUAAGCCCCGGCUAACUUCGUCCCAGCAGCCGCGGUAAUACGAAGGGGGCUAGCGAUGUUCCGAAUCACUGGCCGUAAAGCCCAAGUAGGCGGAUAAUUUAGUCAGGGGUGAAAUCCCGUAGCUCAACCUCGGAACUGCCACUGAUACUGGAGAUGUUGAGUCCGGAU
rnacentral:rRNA from 1 species